UCGAUGUCAUUUACAAAAAGCAAUUUUAUUCAAAUUAAAUAUCUAGAAUCUAUUUACAAUAACUGUAAAUUAUAUUUAAAAAACAUAUAAGUAGAGCUAAGUUUCCCGUUAUAUAAAUCUAGGUAGUGUUGCGGCUUCGAAUCCAUACACAAGAUAUAUAUGAAUGCGACGUUUGUACUUGAAAAAAAUGUUAUAGUCCAGAUAUAUGAUUGUGGUGCAGGCAGGCACUGCAUGUUACUCCAGAAGUUAUAUGUAAGCGACUACAGACAACAGCGGCGGGCUGCUCUAAGCAGGAGAUCGAUGUGCUUCACCACCAAUAGUGUAUCCAGAGGGUUGCGUUUUAAGAGAUACACGUAAAAUACAAGCAUUUUCAUGCGUGACUACUGCAAAGAACGUCCUUCGUAGAAGUUCGCACUGCUGAAUGAAGAUAAAAUAUCGUUUAAUAAACUAUAAACUGUACAUAAGAAAAUAAAAUACAGAACAGAG